rnacentral:misc_RNA from 1 species
CCCAAGAAAUUAUUCCACAAAUAGUCUGCAACGUUUUUUUGCAUCAGCUUGAGAGGCCAGGGUGUAGCUUCCAAUCCCACCGCCAAGAGAAAGCAUCACCUUAAUUCCUUGGAUUUGGCAACUCCUGAUGCCAUUGCUGACAAUGGUGCAACCUCCAGCAGCCGGGUUACAAUGGCCGGCAAGGUUGAUUUGUGGGGUUUGACCAUUGCCAAAUUUAUUGA